AUUGAACGCUGGCGGCAUGCCUUACACAUGCAAGUCGAACGGCAGCACGGGUGCUUGCACCUGGUGGCGAGUGGCGAACGGGUGAGUAAUCCAUCGGAACGUACCUUAUCGUGGGGGAUAACGCAGCGAAAGCUGUGCUAAUACCGCAUACGCACUGAGGGAGAAAGCGGGGGAGCGAAAGACCUCGCGCGGUGCGAGCGGCCGAUGCCUGUUUAGCUUGUUGGUGGGGUAAAAGCCCACCAAGGAGACGAUCAGUAGCUGGUCUGAGAGGACGAUCAGCCACACUGGGACUGAGACGCGGCCCAGACUCCUACGGGAGGCAGCAGUGGGGAAUUUUGGACAAUGGGGGCAACCCUGAUCCAGCAAUGCCGCGUGAGUGAAGGAGGCCUUCGGGUUGUAAAGCUCUUUUGUCAGGGAAGAAACACCGGCUCUAACACAGUCCGGGAAUGACGGUACCUGAAGAAUAAGCACCGGCUAACUACGUGCCAGCCGCCGCGGUAA
rnacentral:rRNA from 1 species